GACGACGGGUAGCCGGCCUGAGAGGGCGACCGGCCACACUGGGACUGAGACACGGCCCAGACUCCUACGGGAGGCAGCAGUGGGGAAUAUUGCACAAUGGGCGGAAGCCUGAUGCAGCGACGCCGCGUGAGGGAUGACGGCCUUCGGGUUGUAAACCUCUUUCAGCAGGGACGAAGCGCAAGUGACGGUACCUGCAGAAGAAGCGCCGGCCAACUACGUGCCAGCAGCCGCGGUAAGACGUAGGGCGCGAGCGUUGUCCGGAUUUAUUGGGCGUAAAGAGCUCGUAGGCGGCUUGUCGCGUCGACUGUGAAAACCCGCAGCUCAACUGCGGGCCUGCAGUCGAUACGGGCAGGCUAGAGUUCGGUAGGGGAGACUGGAAUUCCUGGUGUAGCGGUGAAAUGCGCAGAUAUCAGGAGGAACACCGGUGGCGAAGGCGGGUCUCUGGGCCGAUACUGACGCUGAGGAGCGAAAGCGUGGGGAGCGAACAGGAUUAGAUACCCUGGUAGUCCACGCUGUAAACGUUGGGCGCUAGGUGUGGGGGGCCUCUCCGGUUCCCUGUGCCGCAGCUAACGCAUUAAGCGCCCCGCCUGGGGGAGUACGG
rnacentral:rRNA from 1 species